UACAUGUGGGGCAAGCGUUGUUCGGAAUUACUGGGCAUAAAGGGUGCGUAGGUGGUCUGGUAAGUCAGUGGUGAAAUCGUCCGGCCCAACCGGACACGUGCCAAUGAUACUGCCGGACUCGAGUGCGUGAGGGGUGGGGGGAACGAGCAGUGUAGCGGUGAAAUGCGUAGAUAUUGCUCGGAAGGCCAAAGCCGAAGGGACCCCACUGGUACGUAACUGACACUGAGGCACGAAAGCGUGGGGAGCAAACAGG
rnacentral:rRNA from 1 species